CCUACGGGAGGCAGCAGUAGGGAAUCUUCGGCAAUGGGGGCAACCCUGACCGAGCAACGCCGCGUGAGUGAAGAAGGUUUUCGGAUCGUAAAGCUCUGUUGUAAGAGAAGAACGAGUGUGAGAGUGGAAAGUUCACACUGUGACGGUAACUUACCAGAAAGGGACGGCUAACUACGUGCC
rnacentral:rRNA from 1 species